AUCACUUCUCGAUCUUUGGGCUAACAUCAAGUGUAGUAUCUGUUCUUAUCAGUUUAAUAUCUGAUACAUCCUCUAUCUGAGGACGAUAUAUAUAUAUAUAUAUAUAUAUAUAUAUAUAUAUAUAUCUCAAAAGGCAAGUUACAUAACUUCUAUAUACAAUGGUGGGACAGGCACAAGGUAACCAUUCCCAUUC